UACAGAGGGGGCAAGCGUUGUUCGGAAUUACUGGGCGUAAAGGGCGCGUAGGCGGCCUGCUAAGUCACACGUGAAAUCCCUCGGCUCAACCGGGGAACUGCGUGUGAUACUGGCGGGCUUGAAUUCGGGAGAGGGAUGUGGAAUUCCAGGUGUAGCGGUGAAAUGCGUAGAUAUCUGGAGGAACACCGGUGGCGAAGGCGGCAUCCUGGACCGAGAUUGACGCUGAGGCGCGAAAGCUAGGGGAGCAA
rnacentral:rRNA from 1 species